GAUGAACGCUAGCUACAGGCUUAACACAUGCAAGUCGAGGGGCAGCAGGGAUUUAGCUUGCUAAAUCCGCUGGCGACCGGCGCACGGGUGCGUAACGCGUAUCCAACUUUCCCGUUACUCUUGGAUAGCCUUCCGAAAGGGAGAUUAAUACAAGAUGGCAUCAGAAUUUCGCAUGUUAUUCUGAUUAAAGAUUUAUCGGUAACGGAUAGGGAUGCGUGACAUUAGAUAGUAGGCGGGGUAACGGCCCACCUAGUCUACGAUGUCUAGGGGUUCUGAGAGGAAGGUCCCACACACUGGAACUGAGACACGGUCCAGACUCCUACGGGAGGCAGCAGUGAGGAAUAUUGGUCAAUGGUCGGAAGACUGAACCAGCCAAGUAGCGUGAAGGAUGAAGGUUCUAUGGAUUGUAAACUUCUUUUAUAUAGGAAUAAAACCUCCCACGUGUGGGAGCUUGUAUGUACUAUAUGAAUAAGCAUCGGCUAACUCCGUGCCAGCAGCCGCCGCAGUAA
rnacentral:rRNA from 1 species